CCCCUCCAUAACAUGAUAUAUCUGUUCAUAAUUACACCUUAUAUAAGAAUGCCAGCUUUUGAUUGGCUGAUAGCCAGUGUAUUUUUCGCAUAUUCUAACAUUUCUUCCUCAUUUCAAACGAAUCUGACUGUUUUUCACCACUGCCGGUGAAUAUGCCUCAAAUACCAUGGUAAUUGCCAUUUUGGAUAUUCCUUUUUUACCCUCGCGAGCAUUUUCCCGCCAUUUAUUUCGGAUAUGACAUUACAUAAAGACAGCGCGAACGCGUAUAAGUACAUGUAUAGUUCCCGCGGUAUAUUUUAUGAUAGUACUUGUCCUCAAAUAAAUAUUUCCUUUUCCUAGUAC
rnacentral:lncRNA from 1 species